CAGCAUACAAAGUAAAACAUUUUCUAAUCCUAUGUUGGAUAUACAUUUAAAAUGAUUUAAAAACAAAUUCUCACAGAAUCUCACAACAAUCCUCUAAUGUAGGCAGGAAACUACUACCACCCUCAGGUGACAAGGAGAUGGGCUAAGUGUCUUGCCUAGGUCACCUGGCGAUCACGUCUAUCUCUGGCGCCACAGUCUCUCACUCACCCUGCUUGGAAACCUGCCCGUUUCUGAAUCAUGUGAAUUUUGUGUCCCCCAUGCCUGGGCAGUACCUCCCACUUCUUUCAAGGCAACAGUUUUCUCCUCUCCAUUCCCACCAUGUCCUCAGCAGCCCAGGUCCCUGUGGCAUCACUUUUGGUUACCUGUCCAGAGUCGCCCAGCUAAGGUUUAUCUCUUCUCAUUAGGCUCCUCCAAUCCCAAUGCUAUAGAGCACAAUUUUCAUUCUUCCUGGUGACAUUGUCAUCCCCAGAUGUCCUUGCAGUGCCCAGCACACGUGCUGUGGUCUCAGAGGAUCGAUUUUGUCCAUGAAGUGGCAGGAAGAAUCUGUUGGGUGAUUAUGCUCUCCUCCUUCCUGUAAAUGAAAAGUAAAAUUCUAAGGCCCUCAACUGACUGAGUGGACCCUUCUCUAGGCCAAGGGGACCCAAAGAAACCUGAAAAACUAGGUCAGGCCAUAUGGGAAGUGGGGGUUGGACAUGCCUCCUUAUACUUUCCUCCCUUUAGUGUUCAGGCACAACUGACCAAACUUAACAUUAAAACAGAGAUCUUAACACUGACAACACAGACUCUUUGUAGCAAUAAGAUACCAAAUUCCAACCUGACUCUAGUAUAGCAUCACAUGACAAAUAAAGAAGGAAAUCAAAACAUUUCACCCCAAAAUAUGUUUCUUUGUCAUAUUUUGAAAUGACCCAGCAAAGCCAUCUUUUGUGGGGGAAAAUAUCCAGCUGUAAAGAAUGUCUAUUAACAUAACCAAGUCUUUCCCUUUCCAGGCCCUCCCAAUCCUGAGGAAAUUAACUGAGAGUCUAGCACCUUUUAAAAGUCUGAAUAGGAAACAUUUGCCAUCUAUUGUCUCGAAGGGUGGCCACCUACAUGAUUUCAUCUACAUAAUAAGAACCUUGGUCUCCACAAACCCUUUUCUUGACCCAGAUGCUCCUUUCUAUUCAUCCCAGGUCUUCAGAUAAUAACUUAGCUGUUUCGACAAAUUUCCGAUUGGUAAAUCUUGAAAUCCACAUAUGACCUAGAAGCGUCCACUUCAAGAUGUCCUGCCUUUCUGGGAUGAACCAAUGUAUACCUCACAUGUAUUGAUUUAUGUCUCUGUGUGUAACU
rnacentral:lncRNA from 10 species